ACAUAUCAAACAAUGAUCAUCCUCACUAAUCACCAGAGAAAUGCAAAUCAAAACCACAAUGAAAUACCAUCUCACACCAGUUAGAAUGGUGGUCAUCAAAAAGUCAGGAAAUAAC